rnacentral:rRNA from 1 species
AUGCUGCCCCAGCCCCCGGAGCUCAACACUGUUGUCCGCCGCAUGGCGAACCACAACUUCGAUGACCCCAAGAAUCUAUGGAUCAUGGACUCCCGAAACGGCAGCAUCUUCACCCGACGUCGUGAAGGAAGAGAACUAGCAUAUGGAGUGCACCGCAGAGAACUAGCAUAUGGAUUGCACCGCCCGCUUUGCCCUGAGAGAGGCAUUAACGUCGUCCCAGCACUCCCAAGAGCCCAGGAUUACAAUCGCCAAUAUUUUGAUGCUAUUCUCUCCAAAGAAGAAGGCAAUGGCUUGUCCUACUUUUAUGUGUUGACGGAGUUGACUAAUCAGACAGAAAAUUUCACUUUACGCGUGUAUAUGUUACAAGGCAGUGUUUGGUGCUUGCAUACCUCGGCCACGGCCCAGCUCCAUCUUCCGCUACCCAAAGCAAAAGUUGUGCUUGUCGACAAUAAAAUCUAUAUGGUGGUCUCCCCCGCAGACGACAUUAUUGUCUUGGAUUUGACAACCUCAAGUUUGUCUAGAAUCCAGCACCCACCUGGAGUGAAGUAUGACAUUUUUCACACCUUCUUGUCACGGGCAGAUGAUCCUUCCGGUGUAUAUGUCAUCCAUGUCAAUGGCUUUAAACUUUGCAUCUGGCUCCACAAGGGGGACAACUGGUUGCUGGUUGAUACCAUUUGUCUGCAUGAGAUGUGUGCUAAUCUGAGGAUGCUAGAUAACACGCUUGAGGAUGCGCAUUCUGGUUAUUGCUAUGUAUGUCAUGCUGGGGAUAAUGCUGAGUUUGUGGUUUUGCAAAUGUGUGGAUGUAUAUUCUAUCUGGAUGUCAAGAACAGGACACUCCGUAAAUUGGUUGCUAAGGAUCAAUACUUCACUGAUGUCUAUCCGUUUAUGAUGGUUUGGCCUCCCACAUUCCCUAAGCUCAAGGAUGGUCCUGCAAGAUAG